GAUGAACGCUGGCGGCGUGCCUAAUACAUGCAAGUCGAGCGAACAGACGAGGAGCUUGCUCCUCUGACGUUAGCGGCGGACGGGUGAGUAACACGUGGAUAACCUACCUAUAAGACUGGGAUAACUUCGGGAAACCGGAGCUAAUACCGGAUAAUAUAUUGAACCGCAUGGUUCAAUAGUGAAAGACGGUUUUGCUGUCACUUAUAGAUGGAUCCGCGCCGCAUUAGCUAGCUGGUAAGGUAACGGCUUACCAAGGCGACGAUGCGUAGCCGACCUGAGAGGGUGAUCGGCCACACUGGAACUGAGACACGGUCCAGACUCCUACGGGAGGCAGCAGUAGGGAAUCUUCCGCAAUGGGCGAAAGCUUGACGGAGCAACGCCGCGUGAGUGAUGAAGGUCUUCGGAUCGUAAAACUCUGUUAUUAGGGAAGAACAAAUGUGUAAGUAACUAUGCACGUCUUGACGGUACCUAAUCAGAAAGCCACGGCUAACUACGUG
rnacentral:rRNA from 1 species